ACACACACACACAUCUUCAGCCGCUUAACAGGUCUGCGGGACCCCUGAAACAAUACCAGAAUAGCUCAGAAGCUACUGGCAGUAAAUUUGACAAACGUCACAUGACAAAUGUCACGUGCGAGGUCAGAAGUUAAGAAAUUUUGCUGUCAGUACUACUGUUUUACUAUUGGGGGUAUCCUUUUUAA